rnacentral:misc_RNA from 1 species
CAAGCCUCAAGUAAACUAAAUUGGUUAGUAGCAAAUGUGAUGAAUGAUAUUGAUCAAAUUCAUAGUAUUCUGGCACUUGUAUAUGAGUGGUUUAUGGUUCUAUCACUUUUAUCGUUGUGCACUAAUGAUUUGGUAGAGUUGCUGGGCAGUUUGGCUGUCUGUGGUGAAACUAUGCAACAUUGUAACGAUUGCAAAUGCAUUUUACAGGCACCAAGCAG